AGCCGCGCGCUGAACACAAAGCGAACUAUUCUUUCGCCUUUUACUAAAGAAUACCGUGUGUUCGCCGCAAUUAGUGGCAUACGCCUAUUUUUGAAGAGGUUUCCUCCUUGAGAAACU